rnacentral:tRNA from 1 species
ACCCCCUUAGUAUAAAGUACAAGUGAUUUCCACUCACUAAGUCUUAGACCGACCUAAGAGGAGGUA